GCCAUCAUCAUCAAUUACAAAAAAACACAAUUCAGGGAUCAAAAUGCUAUUGAAAAAAAUCUUUUAAAAGUCUCCAUUAUAAAAACAAUUACUGCUCAACUCUGAGAAAAGCAAUAAUACCA